AUUAAACGCUGGCGGCAUGCCUUACACAUGCAAGUCGAACGGCAGCACGGGGGCAACCCUGGUGGCGAGUGGCGAACGGGUGAGUAAAGCAUCGGAACGUGCCCUGGAGUGGGGGAUAACGUAGCGAAAGUUACGCUAAUACCGCAUAUUCUGUGAGCAGGAAAGCAGGGGAUCGCAAGACCUUGCGCUUUGGGAGCGGCCGAUGUCGGAUUAGCUAGUUGGUGGGGUAAAGGCCUACCAAGGCGACGAUCCGUAGCGGGUCUGAGAGGAUGAUCCGCCACACUGGGACUGAGACACGGCCCAGACUCCUACGGGAGGCAGCAGUGGGGUAAUUUUGGACAAGUGGGCGCAAGCCUGAUCCAGCCAUGCCGCGUGAGUGAAGAAGGCCUU
rnacentral:rRNA from 1 species